CACACACACAGAGACUAUAUGGAAUACAUGUCCCGUUUAAAUAGAACUUUUAUUUACAACGAUAUCAACAUCAAGCAAAAUAAUUAAGUGUAUUGUAAUUUACAUCCUGUAAAAUUUGAGCUUAUCUUCCAUGUUCACACCCCUCAGUCAACCUGUUCUGAAAACACCAAAUUAACCUCAAUUUCCUGGAAUUAUGAUUCCAAAAUAUACUCGUCACAAUCAACAGUAACCUAUAGCGAAACGAACACAGAUGAUAGUGUUGCUUUCCUGAAAAGACUGAAGAGAAUGAUGUAUUAUUCGUUUCCCCACUGUAUUUCAUUCCCACAUCUGGGAAUCAGCACUAUUUGAAGUCACUGAUGGUAAAGACUGGACUAAUGAAGCGGCCGAGGAUCACUUCACUACACUACAGAGACACAUGGAUGAGCACCUUUGUCAGAAUGGAUUCCUUAUUACUCGUACUUUUAAAAAGCACAUCCAAGAGGCUCUCAAAAGUGGUUUAGGAAAGGUUGUUAAACGAGGUGUGAAGUAACAAGUUAUGAGUCUUGGCAGUUCUGUAGAUAAAUCAUAAUCAUCAAAAUCAUACAAAACUUAAACUGAAGAGCGAAUAAACCGCAUGAUAGAGAAACCCUCCAAAAGCACAGACAAUACUGCUAAAAUAUUAACUGGCCUCAAAAUAAAAAACAGGUAUACUUUGUUUUUGUAUGUAUACAGUAUAUAGUACAAAAUCAUAAUAUGUAGUAAUAUGUUCAUAUGAUAUGUACCUUUUACCCCGCGCAUUUGCACGAAAACAUAUAAAUGGAUACAUUUCUGUAAUCAAACUUGAGAAAACAGGAAAAAAUAUCUUUGGAUUGUGCAUGUUUCUUAAAGGUAGAUUUCUGAAGAACCAACAGUAUGAUACAGUGAGAAAGUGAGUCAUUUUUCUUAUUAAGAGCUAGCUUAAAAAGCAACAACAAACAAAAUCUUUGCGCAUCAUUGGACAACUUGCACCAAUUUUUUUUUUUUUUUUUCGGUCAGGAGAACAAAUAGAAAUGAAAAUAAAAUGAUGAAACCAUCACUGCACAACAUUUCCGUGAUGUUAGAAAAAGUGCCAUCCAAAAAUAAUGGAGGUCACUGUUGGAAGGAAAAAAAAAAAGAAAAAGGAAAGAAAAAGAGCUGUGCUGGAAAAGAUACAAAUCUAAUAUUUUCUCCCUUUGACAAAAGUUAUAACAGAUGUAAAACCCAGAGCAGUAUUGACCUAAAAUAUAGAUAAGAUGGACCUAACCGGGCCCAAACUCUGUGCAAAAAAAGUAUGUAGUAAAAGCAUGUAUGAUACAUAUGUAGCAUACAGUAUUUACAAUUCCAAUCUUAUUCACACACACAAAAAAAA